rnacentral:lncRNA from 1 species
AAGGUUUCAAAGUAGCUUCCACGGAGGGACCAGGCAAGUCACUGCCUUUGGAUGGAGGGUGUCAGGGUCUUGCUCACAGUAACACUUCUCUUUGGGUCCAAUAGACUGCAGCGGCAGAGGGGUUCUUCAGGUGUUUAUGGGUGCACGAGUCAAGUCGCCCCAGUUUAAAACUGGCAACAAGUUGAAAGAUCAUCAAGUUUUCUUGCCAACCAAGUAAAAGAGAUGGAUGUGUGGAGCAGAUCUGGUGUGGGCCAGCGGGUGACCUAUGUACCUGUCCACUGACCCUCAAUUUUUUUCCUUUUAGGCCCCAGAACAAGAAGAGCUGGAGGAAGCUGGGUGGUGACACUUGGAAUCACUUUAGUCAUUCAUUAAAUUGUUGCUGUUCUCAAGUUCGACCUCCCACAAGAACUAUUCUAUCAUAAUUCCCUAACACAGCUGAUUGUAGCUGUCCUUCUCCAAUACUCGAAGAUAGACAUUGCAUCUUCAGAGAUAGCCCCACGCCAGCUACGACAGAGAGAACUUCAUACUUAACUUUCAGAUAUUUUCGACACGGCACACCUAGGCCAGUGAGAUGACUCAGACUGUAAAGGCUCCGCUGCCAAUCCUCAAGACCCAAGUUCAAUCCCCGGGACCCAUGCCCUCCCAUGUGGAGAGAGAGGGAGAGUGCUAUAAUUUGUUCUUUGACCUCCACGCAUACUCAUCCCUCUCUCCAGU